rnacentral:rRNA from 1 species
CAAGGAAGGCAGCAGGCGCGCAAAUUACCCACUCCCGGCACGGGGAGGUAGUGACGAAAAAUAACGAUACGGGACUCUUUUGAGACCCCGUAAUCGGAAUGAGAACGGUCCAAAACCUCUAACGAGGACCCAUUGGAGGGCAAGCCUGGUGCCAGCAGCCGCGGUAACUCCAGCUCCAAUAGCGUAUAUUAAAGUUGUUGCGGUUAAAAAGCUCGUAGUUGGAUCUCAGUUCCGGUCGGGGGAUCCGUCUUCCGACGGCCGUCUCCCGGACCGAACAGCCGGCCGGUCUCCCUCGAUGAUCUUCGUCGGUUGUCUCGGGUUGACCGGCGAGUUUACUUUGAAAAAAUUAGAGUGCUCAAAGCAGGCUCCAGAAGCCUGGAUAAUGGUGCAUGGAAUAAUGGAAUAGGACCUCGGUUCUAUUUUGUUGGUUUUAGGAUCACGAGGUAAUGAUUAAGAGGGACGGACGGGGGCAUUCGUAUUGCGGCGCUAGAGGUGAAAUUCUUGGACCGCCGCAAGACGAACGACAGCGAAAGCAUUUGCCAAGAAUGUUUCCAUUAAUCAAGAACGAAAGUCAGAGGCUCGAAGGCGAUCAGAUACCGCCCUAGUUCUGACCAUAAACGAUGCCAGCCAGCGAUCCGGCUGCGUUCCUCAAAUGACGCGCCGGGCAGCUUCCGGGAAACCAAAGCUUUUGGGUUCCGGGGGAAGU